rnacentral:tRNA from 1 species
GUCCCUGUAGCGCAAUGGAUAGCGCGUUGGACUUCUAAUCCAAAGAUCGUGGGUUCGAAUCCUACCUGGGAUG